rnacentral:rRNA from 1 species
GAACGAACGCUGGCGGCAGGCUUAACACAUGCAAGUCGAACGGUUGUAGCAAUACAGCAGUGGCAGACGGGUGAGUAACACGUGGGAACCUUCCUAGGGGUACGGAACAACUCAGGGAAACUUGAGCUAAUACCGUAUACGUCCGUGAGGAGAAAGAUUUAUCGCCCUUAGACGGGCCCGCGUCGGAUUAGCUAGUUGGUGGGGUAACGGCCUACCAAGGCGACGAUCCGUAGCUGAUCUUAGAGGAUGAUCAGCCACACUGGGACUGAGACACGGCCCAGACUCCUACGGGAGGCAGCAGUGGGGAAUCUUGGACAAUGGGCGCAAGCCUGAUCCAGCCAUGCCGCGUGAGUGAAGAAGGUCUUCGGAUUGUAAAGCUCUUUUACCAGGGACGAUAAUGACGGUACCUGGAGAAUAAGCCCCGGCAAACUUCGUG